rnacentral:lncRNA from 1 species
GUCUUAUAAGACAGCUUGGGACACUCCAGUUUCCUUCAGAAAGCCAUAGACUAGAGAGCACAGUGCUCAAACCAAAAGUGGUUGGUUCAAAAAUGCGCAAAACGGGGUUGAAGUGGUGAGGAAGUUGGUUCAGAAGCUCAUCUUCAACAGCGAUAAUUGGAGGCAGCGGAUUCCUCAAUCAGCCAAAAGUCAAGAGCUGGAUAUAGUCUCGCCAGUCAACUGCCUUCCAUGCUACUCGAGUCACAAGCCCCAUCAACAGUCUCGCAGUACAGAUCAUCCUUCACGAGAUGGCGACAAUGGGCAGAGUUGCACGGAAUAUCAUCCCUACCCGCAGAUCCUUACAUGGUAGCCUUAUACCUGAUCCAUUUUGGAACUCUGUAACAUCACCAUGCACCUACAGUCACAAACUCUCUAGCUGCCACGUCAUGGGUUCAUCUCAUGGCUAGUUGGGGACCAUGAUACAACCAAAGACCCUCUGGUGUCAUACACCGCGCUAAAGGUCUGACAAGAACACUGGUUAAGCCAAAGAAA